AACGGCCGUACCAUGCUGAAUAUACCGGUUCUCGUUAGAUCACCGAAGUCAAGCAUCGUGGGCGUGGUCAGUACUUUUCAGGGGUGGGUGACCACCUGGGGAACCGCGUGCCGUU
rnacentral:rRNA from 1 species